rnacentral:rRNA from 1 species
UACAGAGGGGGGCAAGCGUUAUUCGGAAUUAUUGGGCGUAAAGGGCUCGUAGGCGGUUUGUCGCGUCGGGAGUGAAAACCUUGGGCUUAACUCAGGGCUUGCUUUCGAUACGGGCAGACUAGAGGUAUGCAGGGGAGAACGGAAUUCCUGGUGUAGCGGUGAAAUGCGCAGAUAUCAGGAGGAACACCGGUGGCGAAGGCGGUUCUCUGGGCAUGAUCUGACGCUGAGGCGCGAAAGCGUGGGGAGCGAACAGG